AGUGGCAGACGGGUGAGUAAUGUAUAGGAAUCUACCUAGUAGUACGGAAUAAUUGUUGGAAACGGCAACUAAUACCGUAUACGCCCUACGGGGGAAAAAUUUAUUGCUAUUAGAUGGGCCUAUAUUAGAUUAGUUAGUUGGUGAGGUAAAGGCUUACCAAGACAAUGAUCUAUAGCUGAUCUGAGAGGAUGAUCAGCCACACUGGAACUGAGAUACGGUCCAGACUCCUACGGGAGGCAGCAGUGGGGAAUAUUGGACAAUGGGCGAAAGCCUGAUCCAGCCAUGCCGCAUGAGUGAAGAAGGCCUUCGGGUUGUAAAGCUCUUUUAGUGAGGAAGAUAAUGACGGUACUCACAGAAGAAGUCCUGGCUAACUCCGUGCCAGCAGCCGCGGUAAUACGGAGAGGGCUAGCGUUAUUCGGAAUCAUUGGGCGUAAAGGGCGCGUAGGCGGGUUAGUAAGUUAAAAGUGAAAUCCCAAGGCUCAACCUUGGAACUGCUUUUAAAACUGCUAGUCUAGAGAUUGAAAGAGGAUAGAGGAAUUCCUAGUGUAGAGAUGAAAUUCGUAAAUAUUAGGGGGAACACCAGUGGCGAAGGCGUCUAUCUGGUUCAAAUCUGACGCUGAGGCGCGAAGGCGUGGGGAGCAAACAGGAUUAGAUACCCUGGUAGUCCACGCUGUAAACGAUGAAUGUUAAAUAUGGGAAGUUUACUUUCUGUAUUAUAGCUNACGCGUUAAACAUUCCGCCUGGGGACUACNGUCGCAAGAUUAAAACUCAAANGAAUUGACNGGGA
rnacentral:rRNA from 2 species